rnacentral:rRNA from 1 species
AUUGAACGCUGGCGGCAGGCUUAACACAUGCAAGUCGAGCGGAGCGAGGGUGCUUGCACCUUAGCUUAGCGGCGGACGGGUGAGUAAUGCUUAGGAAUCUGCCUAUUAGUGGGGGACAACAUUCCGAAAGGAAUGCUAAUACCGCAUACGUCCUACGGGAGAAAGCAGGGGACCUUCGGGCCUUGCGCUAUCAGAUGAGCCUAGGUCGGAUUAGCUAGUUGGUGAGGUAAUGGCUCACCAAGGCUACGAUCCGUAACUGGUCUGAGAGGAUGAUCAGUCACACUGGAACUGGGACACGGUCCAGACUCCUACGGGAGGCAGCAGUGGGGAAUAUUGGACAAUGGGCGAAAGCCUGAUCCAGCCAUGCCGCGUGUGUGAAGAAGGUCUUCGGAUUGUAAAGCACUUUAAGUUGGGAGGAAGGGUUGUAGAUUAAUACUCUGCAAUUUUGACGUUACCGACAGAAUAAGCACCGGCUAACUUCGUGCCAGCCGCCGCCGUAAAAC